UCCGGUUUGUCACCGGCAGUCUCCUAUGAGUCCCCGACAUCACUCGCUGGCAACAUAGGACAAGGGUUGCGCUCGUUGCGGGACUUAACCCAACAUCUCACGACACGAGCUGACGACAGCCAUGCACCACCUAUCACAGGCCCCGAAGGACACCACAUCUCUGUGGCUUUUCCUGCGUAGUUCAACCCAGGUAAGGUUCUUCGCGUCGCCUCGAAUUAAGCAACAUGCUCCGCCGCUUGUACGGGCCCCCGUCAAUUCCUUUGAGUUUUAGCCUUGCGGCCGUACUCCCCAGGCGAGGUGCUUAAUGCGUUAGCUGCGGCACGGAUCCCGUCGAUAGGGACCCACACCUAGCACCCAUCGGUUACGGCGUGGACUAC
rnacentral:misc_RNA from 1 species